rnacentral:rRNA from 1 species
UACGGAGGGUGCAAGCGUUGUCCGGAUUUAUUGGGUUUAAAGGGUGCGUAGGCGGCCUUUAAGUCAGUGGUGAAAGCCCAUAGCUCAACUAUGGAACUGCCAUUGAUACUGAAAGGCUUGAGUACAGACGAGGUUGGCGGAAUGGAUGGUGUAGCGGUGAAAUGCAUAGAUACCAUCCAGAACUCCGAUUGCGUAGGCAGCUAACUAGGCUGUAACUGACGCUGAGGCACGAAAGCGUGGGAGCAAACAGG